rnacentral:tRNA from 1 species
CAUUAAGUGGCUGAAACUUUUAAAGCAUUGGUCUCUUAAACCAAAAAAUAGUAAUUUAAGAAUACUCUUAAUGA